CACGUGGGUAACCUGCCUGUAAGACUGGGAUAACUCCGGGAAACCGGAGCUAAUACCGGAUAGUUCCUUGAACCGCAUGGUUCAAGGAUGAAAGACGGUUUCGGCUGUCACUUACAGAUGGACCCGCGGCGCAUUAGCUAGUUGGUGGGGUAAUGGCUCACCAAGGCGACGAUGCGUAGCCGACCUGAGAGGGUGAUCGGCCACACUGGGACUGAGACACGGCCCAGACUCCUACGGGAGGCAGCAGUAGGGAAUCUUCCGCAAUGGACGAAAGUCUGACGGAGCAACGCCGCGUGAGUGAUGAAGGUUUUCGGAUCGUAAAGCUCUGUUGUUAGGGAAGAACAAGUGCGAGAGUAACUGCUCGCACCUUGACGGUACCUAACCAGAAAGCCACGGCUAACUACGUGCCAGCAGCCGCGGUAAUACGUAGGUGGCAAGCGUUGUCCGGAAUUAUUGGGCGUAAAGGGCUCGCAGGCGGUUUCUUAAGUCUGAUGUGAAAGCCCCCGGCUCAACCGGGGAGGGUCAUUGGAAACUGGGGAAACUUGAGUGCAAAAAAGGAGAGUGGACUUCCACGUGUAGCGGUGAAAUGCAUAGAGA
rnacentral:rRNA from 1 species